rnacentral:rRNA from 1 species
AGGAUGAACGCUAGCGAUAGGCCUAACACAUGCAAGUCGAGGGGCAUCACAUGAAGCAGCAAUGCGGAUGGUGGCGACCGGCGCACGGGUGAGUAACGCGUAUGCAAUCUACCUACAACAAGGGGAUAACCCGUUGAAAGACGGACUAAUACCCUAUAAUACAGGGGUCCCGCAUGGGAAUAUUUGUUAAAGAUUUAUCGGUUGUAGAUGAGCAUGCGUUCCAUUAGCUAGUUGGUGAGGUAACGGCCCACCAAGGCAACGAUGGAUAGGGGAACUGAGAGGUUUAUCCCCCACACUGGUACUGAGACACGGACCAGACUCCUACGGGAGGCAGCAGUGAGGAAUAUUGGUCAAUGGACGCAAGUCUGAACCAGCCACGUCGCGUGAAGGAAGACGGCCCUACGGGUUGUAAACUUCUUUUGUAAGGGAAUAAAGUGUAGUACGCGUACUAUUUUGCAUGUACCUUACGAAUAAGGAUCGGCUAACUCCGUG